rfam:Triticum aestivum genome assembly, contig: Triticum_aestivum_CS42_TGACv1_scaffold_641087_T_6BS-0.214733_7BL-0.114864
UGAAUAUUCCCUCCGUCCGGAAAUACUUAUCAUCAAAAUGAAUAAAAAGAAAUGUAUUUAGAUGUAUUUUAGUUCUGGAUACAUCUUUUUUUAUUUAUUUUGAUGACAAGUAUUUUCAGACGGAGGGAGUAUGUA